AACCGUUAUAACCGGCGAUGUCCGAAUGGGGAAACCCAGUGCAAUUCGUUGCACUAUCGUUAACUGAAUACAUAGGUUAACGAGGCGAACCGGGGGAACUGAAACAUCUAAGUACCCCGAGGAAAAGAAAUCAACCGAGAUUCCCCCAGUAGCGGCGAGCGAACGGGGAGCAGCCCAGAGUCUGAAUCAGCUUGUGUGUUAGUGGAACGGUCUGGAAAGUCCGACGGUACAGGGUGAUAGUCCCGUACACCAAAAUGCACAGGCUGUGAACUCGAAGAGUAGGGCGGGACACGUGGUAUCCUGUCUGAAUAUGGGGGGACCAUCCUCCAAGGCUAAAUACUCCUGACUGACCGAUAGUGAACCAGUACCGUGAGGGAAAGGCGAAAAGAACCCCGGCGAGGGGAGUGAAAAAGAACCUGAAACCGUGUACGUACAAGCAGUGGGAGCACCUUCGGGUGUGACUGCGUACCUUUUGUAUAAUGGGUCAGCGACUUAUAUUCUGUAGCAAGGUUAACCGUAUAGGGGAGCCGCAGGGAAACCGAGUCUUAACUGGGCGUUAAGUUGCAGGGUAUAGACCCGAAACCCGGUGAUCUAGCCAUGGGCAGGUUGAAGGUUGGGUAACACUAACUGGAGGACCGAACCGACUAAUGUUGAAAAAUUAGCGGAUGACUUGUGGCUGGGGGUGAAAGGCCAAUCAAACCGGGAGAUAGCUGGUUCUCCCCGAAAGCUAUUUAGGUAGCGCCUCGUGAACUCAUCUUCGGGGGUAGAGCACUGUUUCGGCUAGGGGGUCAUCCCGACUUACCAACCCGAUGCAAACUACGAAUACCGAAGAAUGUUAUCACGGGAGACACACGGCGGGUGCUAACGUCCGUCGUGAAGAGGGAAACAACCCAGACCGCCAGCUAAGGUCCCAAAGUCAUGGUUAAGUGGGAAACGAUGUGGGAAGGCACAGACAGCCAGGAUGUUGGCUUAGAAGCAGCCAUCAUUUAAAGAAAGCGUAAUAGCUCACUGGUCGAGUCGGCCUGCGCGGAAGAUGUAACGGGGCUAAACCAUGCACCGAAGCUGCGGCAGCGACACUAUGUGUUGUUGGGUAGGGGAGCGUUCUGUAAGCCUGCGAAGGUGACCUGUGAGGGUUGCUGGAGGUAUCAGAAGUGCGAAUGCUGACAUAAGUAACGAUAAAGCGGGUGAAAAGCCCGCUCGCCGGAAGACCAAGGGUUCCUGUCCAACGUUAAUCGGGGCAGGGUGAGUCGACCCCUAAGGCGAGGCCGAAAGGCGUAGUCGAUGGGAAACAGGUUAAUAUUCCUGUACUUGGUGUUACUGCGAAGGGGGGACGGAGAAGGCUAUGUUAGCCGGGCGACGGUUGUCCCGGUUUAAGCAUGUAGGCUGAUUGUCCAGGCAAAUCCGGAUAAUCAAGGCUGAGGUGUGAUGACGAGGCACUACGGUGCUGAAGUAACAAAUGCCCUGCUUCCAGGAAAAGCCUCUAAGCAUCAGGUAACAUUAAAUCGUACCCCAAACCGACACAGGUGGUCAGGUAGAGAAUACCAAGGCGCUUGAGAGAACUCGGGUGAAGGAACUAGGCAAAAUGGUGCCGUAACUUCGGGAGAAGGCACGCUGGUGUGUAGGUGAAGCCCCUGCGGGUGGAGCUGAGACCAGUCGAAGAUACCAGCUGGCUGCAACUGUUUAUUAAAAACACAGCACUGUGCAAACACGAAAGUGGACGUAUACGGUGUGACGCCUGCCCGGUGCCGGAAGGUUAAUUGAUGGGGUUAUCCGUAAGGAGAAGCUCUUGAUCGAAGCCCCGGUAAACGGCGGCCGUAACUAUAACGGUCCUAAGGUAGCGAAAUUCCUUGUCGGGUAAGUUCCGACCUGCACGAAUGGCGUAAUGAUGGCCAGGCUGUCUCCACCCGAGACUCAGUGAAAUUGAACUCGCUGUGAAGAUGCAGUGUACCCGCGGCAAGACGGAAAGACCCCGUGAACCUUUACUAUAGCUUGACACUGAACAUUGAGCCUUGAUGUGUAGGAUAGGUGGGAGGCUUUGAAGCGUGGACGCCAGUCUGCGUGGAGCCAACCUUGAAAUACCACCCUUUAAUGUUUGAUGUUCUAACGUUGGCCCCUGACCGGGGUUGCGGACAGUGUCUGGUGGGUAGUUUGACUGGGGCGGUCUCCUCCCAAAGCGUAACGGAGGAGCACGAAGGUUAGCUAAUCCUGGUCGGACAUCAGGAGGUUAGUGCAAUGGCAUAAGCUAGCUUGACUGCGAGCGUGACGGCGCGAGCAGGUGCGAAAGCAGGUCAUAGUGAUCCGGUGGUUCUGAAUGGAAGGGCCAUCGCUCAACGGAUAAAAGGUACUCCGGGGAUAACAGGCUGAUACCGCCCAAGAGUUCAUAUCGACGGCGGUGUUUGGCACCUCGAUGUCGGCUCAUCACAUCCUGGGGCUGAAGUAGGUCCCAAGGGUAUGGCUGUUCGCCAUUUAAAGUGGUACGCGAGCUGGGUUUAGAACGUCGUGAGACAGUUCGGUCCCUAUCUGCCGUGGGCGCUGGAGAAUUGAGGGGGGCUGCUCCUAGUACGAGAGGACCGGAGUGGACGCAUCACUGGUGUUCGGGUUGUCAUGCCAAUGGCACUGCCCGGUAGCUAAAUGCGGAAGAGAUAAGUGCUGAAAGCAUCUAAGCACGAAACUUGCCCCGAGAUGAGUUCUCCCUGAGACUUUAAGUCUCCUGAAGGAACGUUGAAGACGACGACGUUGAUAGGCCGGGUGUGUAAGCGCAGCGAUGCGUUGAGCUAACCGGUACUAAUGAACCGUGAGGCUUAACCUUACAACGCCGAAG
rnacentral:rRNA from 1 species